UACGUAGGGUGCGAGCGUUAUUCGGAUUUACUGGGCGUAAAGCGUGCGCAGGCGGUUUUGUAAGUCAGAUGUGAAAGCCCCGGGCUUAACCUGGGAAUGGCAUUUGGGACUGCAAGACUUGAGGGCGGCAGAGGAGACUGGAAUUCCUGGUGUAGCAGUGAAAUGCGUAGAUAUCAGGAGGAAUACCGAUGGCGAAGGCAGGUCUCUGGGCUGACACUGACGCUCAUGCACGAAAGCGUGGGGAGCAAACAGG
rnacentral:rRNA from 1 species